AGGAGACACAUCCAGAGGAUUCCACUUGGUAUGAUGCAGGCGUAGGUGAUGUGGCUAUGCAUCGAGGUCGAUGCGACCUGACCUCUGUUACAACCUCUAUGGUCGUAGCAUGUGCACCUAAUCGGAGUAGGAAGCAGCUACCUGAAGCUAACGAAAGACAUCUGUUGUCGGCCAUGUGGGGUUAGGCGACGUUGCUCAGGUGUGGCGUCUUUCCGAGGCUUGGCA